GCUUAGCCGUAAAAUAUCUAAUUACACCCAUAAACGCCAGAGAAUUACGAGCGCAAGCUUAAAACUCAAAGGACUUGACGGUGUCCCAUCUACCUAGAGGAGCCUGUUCUAUAAUUGAUAAUCCCCGAUAAACCUCACCACCUUUAGCUAAUUCAGCCUGUAUACUUCCGUCGCAAGCUUACCGUAUGAACGAAUAAGUAAGCCUAAUGGCCAAUUCACCUAAACGUCAGGUCAAAGUGCAGCCAAUAAGGUGGGAAGAAAUGGGCUACAGUUUCUUAAUAUAAGAACAAACGAAAAACCACCUGAAACAUUGGAUCAUGAAGGCGGAUUUAGAAGUAAAAUGAAAAUAGAGUGUUCAUUUUAACCAAGCCCUGGGACGUGU
rnacentral:rRNA from 1 species